AAAACUUUUCCAAAAAAAAAAAAAAAAAAAAAUCUGUUCUUAUCAGUUUAAUAUCUGAUACGUCCCCUAUCUGGGGACCAUAUAUUAAAUUGAUUUUUGGAAUAGGGAGAUGGAAUAGGGGCUUGCUCCGUCCACUCCACGCAUCGACCUGGUAUUGCAGUACCUCCAGGAACGGUGCACCCCCU
rnacentral:snRNA from 13 species